UACAGAGGUCUCAAGCGUUGUUCGGAUUCAUUGGGCGUAAAGGGUGCGUAGGUGGCGCUGCAAGUCAGGUGUGAAAUUUCGGAGCUUAACUCCGAAACUGCAUUUGAUACUGCGGUGCUCGAGGACUGGAGAGGAGACUGGAAUUUACGGUGUAGCAGUGAAAUGCGUAGAGAUCGUAAGGAAGACCAGUGGCGAAGGCGGGUCUCUGGACAGUUCCUGACACUGAGGCACGAAGGCCAGGGGAGCAAACGGG
rnacentral:rRNA from 1 species